AGUCGUCUAGAUAUAACAAAAUAUUGAUUUUUUAAUUUUUUACUGGACAACUAAUGGAUAAGACCAACUCCAUCCGAGGUUUUAAAAGGGAGUUCUUAGAAAAAAAACCAAUAAAAAUAAAUGGAAAAAAAGAAAAAGGAAGAGAACCGCCGCUUAAACCAACACCUUUGGAAUCACUAAAAACCCCAUACGUGUAACUUUAUUAUUGGCUAAUUUUUUUUCCUUCUCUCUCUUCCUCUUUCUCUUCUUCGGCGUGGUUUUUGUUUUUGCUCUGAGAAAUCGAUGUUGGAGAAGAAAUAUCCAAAUCGAUCCGACGAUGAUCGUUGUCUGCUCGUAAACCCGAAUCCGAUGGUCAGUCAUCGGAACCUUCUUCCUCAUCUCCGUUCACGUUCGACAAGGAAAACGAGAAGCCCAUCCUCGUGAAAGCUCCGAACCCACGACGGAACAACGAUGCGGAUUCGGUGACGAUGCCGACGUCUUUCAUGACGGGUUCGAUCGUGGGGAAGAGAUUCUACAAGAAGGUGAUGACGAGAGAAGCAGACGAUGGGAAUGGAUGGACUGUGAUGCUUGAUUACAGAACACUUAAAACGCCUUCGAUGAGACCUCUCAAGCUUCCUUCUUUGAUAGAGCAAGUGAUCGAUGGACUUGAUAAAGCUGUGAUGAAGAUGAAGAUGAAGAAGGGUGAAGUGGCAUUGGUCACUUGAUAUGGGUAUUGUGUCUUCUUCUGUUGUUGUGAAGGAAAAGCCUCGAGUUCGCUUCAAACUGUUUGCCUACUGAUUUGGUUGAGCUGUUCGGCAGUCAGGUGAAGCAAGCGCCUCGUUUGUGAACUCGGGAGGAACAAGAGCUAUUGUGGAUCUCUUGGGAGCUUUUGAGGGUUUUCUUGGAGACACUUAUUAAGGAAACUGGUUGUGAGCUUAAGUGACCGUAAACCAGUGGAGAAAGAAGAUGAGAUCAUUGUCAUGGUUGUUCCUGGUUACAAAAUGCUGGAGUAUGUUGAAAAAAUUGCAAAAGGACUUGCAGAUGACCCGGUAACUAAACUCUGUAAGAUCUUAGUUUCAACUUUUACACCAAGAACUUUUUGUUCUAACGUUAACAAGACAUUGUGAUUAAGCCAAAGCCUUUUUGUAUUUGUAUUUUUAAUAUGCUUUUAAAAAAAAAAAUUUAAACUUCUAC